rnacentral:rRNA from 1 species
AACGAACGCUGGCGGCAUGCCUAACACAUGCAAGUCGAACGAGACCUUCGGGUCUAGUGGCGCACGGGUGCGUAACGCGUGGGAAUCUGCCCUUGGGUUCGGAAUAACUUCGGGAAACUGAAGCUAAUACCGGAUGAUGACGUAAGUCCAAAGAUUUAUCGCCCAAGGAUGAGCCCGCGUAGGAUUAGCUAGUUGGUGAGGUAAAGGCUCACCAAGGCGACGAUCCUUAGCUGGUCUGAGAGGAUGAUCAGCCACACUGGGACUGAGACACGGCCCAGACUCCUACGGGAGGCAGCAGUGGGGAAUAUUGGACAAUGGGCGAAAGCCUGAUCCAGCAAUGCCGCGUGAGUGAUGAAGGCCUUAGGGUUGUAAAGCUCUUUUACCCGAGAUGAUAAUGACAGUAUCGGGAGAAUAAGACUCCGGCUAACUCCGUGCCAGCAGCCGCGGUAAAGUGACUACU